ensembl:lncRNA
AGCGGGUGGCAAGCAGGUAGGACCCAGAUGCAGACGGUUAGGGUUAACGGCACUUUAUUUACGCCAAAAGGCUAAGGCAAGGAGCAAGGGAACGACGAGAACACAGAGCUUGCAGGUAGAGACCGCAGGUUCGGAGUCACCAGUCCACCAGCCACAGAGAGUCGUGGAAGAGGAGAAGGCAGAGGACAGACCUGAGGAAGUGGCAGGGGACAGACCAGAGGACGUGGCAGAGGCGUGAUAAACCUCACUCAAGAGGACAUCGAUUGAGUUGAACAGCUCCAAAUACAGCGAACCGCACUUGAACAGGCCAGGGGCCGUAUUCACAAAAUUUUUAUCUUACCGCUAGGAGUGCUCCUAACUCGCGCUAAAACAUUUUACGUAGGAGUUCUUUCUUAAGUUAUUCACAAAGCCGCUGA